GGUUUGGUUAUGCAUCUAUGCAUUGCUUUUGCUCUUUGUCAUGGAGUACUAACUGUGGAGGUUCAGGUUUACAAUCUUAGAAAUGCAGUGAUUGAUGUGUUUUCUAAUCGUAAUGCAGCAAACAAAUUGUUUUGCAAGUUAUGUACUUUAAUUAUCUGUAUCUUACCAUUCUUACCAAGUACCGUCAAAUGUACAGCUUGAUUUUGUAUAUGUAUUUCCCUCAGUUUCUUGUAGGUUCCUGCAUAAGAGGUCAUUAUUGCAGAGUUGGAGACUGACACUAUGUUUAUCAGUACAUGCUAUUGGAAUUCCCAACAAACUUGACAGGAUGGAUCAGUCACACGUUGGUUACAUCAAGUCUUCUAAAGGUAUUUACCUAGAUCCUUGAGAUGCUAUUCGUAUUGGCCUGAAUGCAGUUGAAUUCUGAAUCAUAAACAAGCUGGGAGAUUUGUCUUCCACAUAUUUUUAGUGCAUGCUCGGAGAACAAGAUAAGAGGAGAGGCUUGAAUCUUGAGAUGACAAGGGUAGUCACCUGCUGCGACUAAAGGAAGGAGGUCAAUGAAGCAAAAGGGACGAAAAGGAAGGAGCAACGCCACAGGGACGAUGUUG